UUUGGUUUCAACGGCACGACCGGACAAUGCGCAUCCAGUGAGAUUCGCUCUCGUAUUUCAUGUAACUGCCAAACGCUCGUAGUUUCCGACCCGAAAGAGAAACGGAGAACGUGUGCCGAUGAAUAGACAAACGUAUAAAUACGGAGGCAAAGAAUGAAUGCGAUAAUGACGACAAGGAAGGAGAAUCAAGAAAUGAUAUUCUGUACACAGUUUCUAUUGUCUCUGGAGGCGAAAUAAUAUCUUGGGGAGUCAGCAUUAGUAAUCGUACCGCAAGGUCUACAAGGUGUUCGCUCUUUAAGCUCGUUACGUCGAAACUCUGCAAGUUUGGAUAACGAACUGUGCGGCAGCGCUCCUCGUUCGCAUGAAAGCUGGUUUAUGGAUCGUUUAAGGUUGUUUUUUUAUGG